rnacentral:lncRNA from 1 species
GUCGCCCCGCUUCCCUUCCGGGCCCCGGAUGCGCGGAGCGGAGGGAGGAGGGCGGGCGGCGCCGUUCGGAGCCGCGUGGACGCCGGAAGCCAGAAUCGCUGCUUGCGGUAAAGGAAAGCUGAAGCAGUUUCCCCAAAACACAUCGCCUGGGGGGACAAAGAAAAAGACCUAAGUUCUUCCCCAGACUCAACGCCCCACCUGAGGCCCCAGCGUCCGGCAGCAGUCCCAGCUCCUGCCCUCCUCGGAAUCAGACUUUUCCUCCCAACACUUCACUUCAUUCAGAAGAGAUCCACUUUCUAAAUGCCUUGGUGAUAGCUCGGUGCUGGUGAUGGCGAGGUGCAGCCUGGCCUGGCAGGGAAGCAGACCUGCCCUUGGUGCUUUAGUGCAGGGACACACGUCUGCAACGGCAGGGACUCAUCGCAGGAGUUGGUGACAGGGAGUGAGGAAGACUGGGGAAGGCUUCCUCCACCUCCUCCACCCAGAACCUCAACGCACAGCCCUCGGGUCCCCCAAAUGUCCCUGUCUUCUCCCACAUGCCUGCCCCUGCCGUACCUAGGGCACAUUCCUUAUCACAUUUUAUUAUUUUUUAUCUAUCUUCUGUCUCAUCUCAUCCAAUUGGAAUAUAAAUUCCACAAGAUCGGUAUUUUAUUUGACUUUGCAUAUCCAGAACCCCAACACGUGGGCCCUUCCUAAUCAACAUAAGCUCUCAUUUUCCUGAUGGAUGCUGAGAGAAUGUUCACUGCAUCCUGGAGUUCAUAGAAGUAGAACCUGCUUGAAGAAAAAGCCAAUAAACUAGACCAGAGAUUGUUCAAAGCAAUCUGUGCAGGGAGAAAAUCAAUUUUGUUCAUCAUUUCCUGACUUCCUCUGUCCUUAGUCUCUGAAGCACUUGCUUUCAAAAUGUACAGCCGAUUUAAAAAAAAGAAAAAAAAAGGUAGCAGGCACAAAAUAUGCCCCAGAAUGUCGCA